CGACCCGUCAUUUGGUACAAGUGGUGGCCUAACCAAGUCCGACCUUGAGAACUUGGCUUGAUUGAAAGAUCAACCAACUGAGGGGCAGGAUAAGGUCACUGCUGGGGAUCCCAUUACAUCAAGCAAAAGUCUUCUGGGAACAAAAGAAGAUAUUCAAGCCAAUGGUGGAACCCUUCAUGUGUUUUCUAUGGCGAGCUUAUCUUUCCCCAAAGACAAAGGUCGGGUUUUAGAGAUUAACAUCAAUGUGUUUUCAAAGAGAACCAAGUCACUUAUUACUCUACCCAAAGAAGGUGCUUUUGUGGCGGUGGAAUCUUCCAUUCCAACACCCCACUAGGCUGGGGGUUGCUUGUUUGCCUUUUUAACCUACUGUGAUAAGGUGACUCUUUUUGUAUUUCGUCAGCUUUGGAAGCUAUUUUGAUGAAUUGUGCCUAUGUUGGGCUUCUUUUAAUUUGCCAUGCUAUUUUGGAUAAUUAUGAAUGCAUGUCAAUAUGUUUACUGGUUCACGCUUAAU